CGGGGAAUUUUGGACAAUGGGCGAAAGCCUGAUCCAGCAAUGCCGCGUGUGUGAAGAAGGCCUUCGGGUUGUAAAGCACUUUUGUCCGGAAAGAAAUCCUCUGGGUUAAUACCUCGGGGGGAUGACGGUACCGGAAGAAUAAGCACCGGCUAACUACGUGCCAGCAGCCGCGGUAAUACGUAGGGUGCAAGCGUUAAUCGGAAUUACUGGGCGUAAAGCGUGCGCAGGCGGUUUUGUAAGACGGAUGUGAAAUCCCCGGGCUUAACCUGGGAACUGCAUUCGUGACUGCAAGGCUAGAGUAUGGCAGAGGGGGGUAGAAUUCCACGUGUAGCAGUGAAAUGCGUAGAGAUGUGGAGGAAUACCGAUGGCGAAGGCAGCCCCCUGGGCCAAUACUGACGCUCAUGCACGAAAGCGUGGGGAGCAAACAGGAUUAGAUACCCUGGUAGUCCACGCCCUAAACGAUGUCAACUAGUUGUUGGGGAUUCAUUUCCCUAGUAACGUAGCUAACGCGUGAAGUUGACCGCCUGGGGAGUACGGUCGCAAGAUUAAAACUCAAAGGAAUUGACGGGGUCAUAGCUGUUUCCU
rnacentral:rRNA from 1 species